GACGAACGCUGGCGGCGUGCCUAAUACAUGCAAGUCGAGCGGACCACUUCGGUGGUCAGCGGCGGACGGGUGAGUAACGCGUGGGCAACCUGCCUGUAAGACUGGGAUAACACCGGGAAACCGGUGCUAAUACCGGAUAAUCCUUUCCUUCACAUGAAGGGAAGCUGAAAGACGGUUUCGGCUGUCACUUACAGAUGGGCCCGCAGCGCAGUAGCUAGUUGGUGAGGUAACGGCUCACCAAUGCAACGAUGCGUAGCCGACCUGAGAGGGUGAUCGGCCCAACUAGGACUGAGACACGGCCCAGACUCCUAAGGGAGGCAGCAGUAGGGAAUCUUCCGCAAUGGACGAAAGUCUGACGGAGCAACGCCGCGUGAGCGAUGAAGGCCUUCGGGUCGUAAAGCUCUGUUGUCAGGGAAGAACAAGUACCGGAGUAACUGCCGGUACCUUGACGGUACCUGACCAGAAAGCCACAGCUAACUACGUGCCAGCCGCCGCAGUAA
rnacentral:rRNA from 1 species